rnacentral:rRNA from 1 species
UACAGAGGGGGCAAGCGUUGUUCGGCAUUACUGGGCGUAAAGGGCGCGUAGGCGGCCUGCUAAGUCGAACGUGAAAUCCCUGGGCUCAACCCAGGAACUGCGUCCGAUACUGGUUGGCUUGAAUCCGGGAGAGGGAUGUGGAAUUCCAGGUGUAGCGGUGAAAUGCGUAGAUAUCUGGAGGAACACCGGUGGCGAAGGCGACAUCCUGGACCGGUAUUGACGCUGAGGCGCGAAAGCCAGGGGAGCAAACGGG